rnacentral:rRNA from 1 species
GACGAACGCUGGCGGCGUGCUUAACACAUGCAAGUCGAACGGAAAGGCCCCUUUGGGGGUCCUCGAGUGGCGAACGGGUGAGUAACACGUGAGUAACCUGCCCUUGACUUCGGGAUAACUUCAGGAAACUGGGGCUAAUACCGGAUAGGAAUCCUUGCUGCAUGGUGGGGGUUGGAAAGCUUCGGCGGUUUUGGAUGGACUCGCGGCUUAUCAGCUUGUUGGUGGGGUAGUGGCUUGCCAAGGCUUUGACGGGUAGCCGGCCUGAGAGGGCGACCGGCCACAUUGGGACUGAGAUACGGCCCAGACUCCUACGGGAGGCAGCAGUGGGGAAUAUUGCACAAUGGGCGGAAGCCUGAUGCAGCAACGCCGCGUGCGGGAUGACGGCCUUCGGGUUGUAAACCGCUUUCAGCAGGGGCGAAGCUUGUGGUGACGGUACCUGCAGAAGAAGCACCGGCUAACUACGUG